GGUUAAGCGACUAAGCGUACACGGUGGAUGCCCUGGCAGUCAGAGGCGAUGAAGGACGUGCUAAUCUGCGAUAAGCGUCGGUAAGGUGAUAUGAACCGUUAUAACCGGCGAUUUCCGAAUGGGGAAACCCAGUGUGUUUCGACACACUAUCAUUAACUGAAUCCAUAGGUUAAUGAGGCGAACCGGGGGAACUGAAACAUCUAAGUACCCCGAGGAAAAGAAAUCAACCGAGAUUCCCCCAGUAGCGGCGAGCGAACGGGGAGCAGCCCAGAGCCUGAAUCAGUGUGUGUGUUAGUGGAAGCGUCUGGAAAGGCGCGCGAUACAGGGUGACAGCCCCGUACACAAAAAUGCACAUGCUGUGAGCUCGAUGAGUAGGGCGGGACACGUGGUAUCCUGUCUGAAUAUGGGGGGACCAUCCUCCAAGGCUAAAUACUCCUGACUGACCGAUAGUGAACCAGUACCGUGAGGGAAAGGCGAAAAGAACCCCGGCGAGGGGAGUGAAAAAGAACCUGAAACCGUGUACGUACAAGCAGUGGGAGCCUCUUUAUGGGGUGACUGCGUACCUUUUGUAUAAUGGGUCAGCGACUUAUAUUCUGUAGCAAGGUUAACCGAAUAGGGGAGCCGAAGGGAAACCGAGUCUUAACUGGGCGUUAAGUUGCAGGGUAUAGACCCGAAACCCGGUGAUCUAGCCAUGGGCAGGUUGAAGGUUGGGUAACACUAACUGGAGGACCGAACCGACUAAUGUUGAAAAAUUAGCGGAUGACUUGUGGCUGGGGGUGAAAGGCCAAUCAAACCGGGAGAUAGCUGGUUCUCCCCGAAAGCUAUUUAGGUAGCGCCUCGUGAAUUCAUCUCCGGGGGUAGAGCACUGUUUCGGCAAGGGGGUCAUCCCGACUUACCAACCCGAUGCAAACUGCGAAUACCGGAGAAUGUUAUCACGGGAGACACACGGCGGGUGCUAACGUCCGUCGUGAAGAGGGAAACAACCCAGACCGCCAGCUAAGGUCCCAAAGUCAUGGUUAAGUGGGAAACGAUGUGGGAAGGCCCAGACAGCCAGGAUGUUGGCUUAGAAGCAGCCAUCAUUUAAAGAAAGCGUAAUAGCUCACUGGUCGAGUCGGCCUGCGCGGAAGAUGUAACGGGGCUAAACCAUGCACCGAAGCUGCGGCAGCGACGCUGAUGCGUUGUUGGGUAGGGGAGCGUUCUGUAAGCCUGUGAAGGUGUGCUGUGAGGCAUGCUGGAGGUAUCAGAAGUGCGAAUGCUGACAUAAGUAACGAUAAAGCGGGUGAAAAGCCCGCUCGCCGGAAGACCAAGGGUUCCUGUCCAACGUUAAUCGGGGCAGGGUGAGUCGACCCCUAAGGCGAGGCCGAAAGGCGUAGUCGAUGGGAAACAGGUUAAUAUUCCUGUACUUGGUGUUACUGCGAAGGGGGGACGGAGAAGGCUAUGUUGGCCGGGCGACGGUUGUCCCGGUUUAAGCGUGUAGGCUGGUUUUCCAGGCAAAUCCGGAAAAUCAAGGCUGAGGCGUGAUGACGAGGCACUACGGUGCUGAAGCAACAAAUGCCCUGCUUCCAGGAAAAGCCUCUAAGCAUCAGGUAACAUCAAAUCGUACCCCAAACCGACACAGGUGGUCAGGUAGAGAAUACCAAGGCGCUUGAGAGAACUCGGGUGAAGGAACUAGGCAAAAUGGUGCCGUAACUUCGGGAGAAGGCACGCUGAUAUGUAGGUGAAGCGACUUGCUCGUGGAGCUGAAAUCAGUCGAAGAUACCAGCUGGCUGCAACUGUUUAUUAAAAACACAGCACUGUGCAAACACGAAAGUGGACGUAUACGGUGUGACGCCUGCCCGGUGCCGGAAGGUUAAUUGAUGGGGUUAGCGCAAGCGAAGCUCUUGAUCGAAGCCCCGGUAAACGGCGGCCGUAACUAUAACGGUCCUAAGGUAGCGAAAUUCCUUGUCGGGUAAGUUCCGACCUGCACGAAUGGCGUAAUGAUGGCCAGGCUGUCUCCACCCGAGACUCAGUGAAAUUGAACUCGCUGUGAAGAUGCAGUGUACCCGCGGCAAGACGGAAAGACCCCGUGAACCUUUACUAUAGCUUGACACUGAACAUUGAGCCUUGAUGUGUAGGAUAGGUGGGAGGCUUAGAAGUGUGGACGCCAGUCUGCAUGGAGCCGACCUUGAAAUACCACCCUUUAAUGUUUGAUGUUCUAACGUUGACCCGUAAUCCGGGUUGCGGACAGUGUCUGGUGGGUAGUUUGACUGGGGCGGUCUCCUCCUAAAGAGUAACGGAGGAGCACGAAGGUUGGCUAAUCCUGGUCGGACAUCAGGAGGUUAGUGCAAUGGCAUAAGCCAGCUUGACUGCGAGCGUGACGGCGCGAGCAGGUGCGAAAGCAGGUCAUAGUGAUCCGGUGGUUCUGAAUGGAAGGGCCAUCGCUCAACGGAUAAAAGGUACUCCGGGGAUAACAGGCUGAUACCGCCCAAGAGUUCAUAUCGACGGCGGUGUUUGGCACCUCGAUGUCGGCUCAUCACAUCCUGGGGCUGAAGUAGGUCCCAAGGGUAUGGCUGUUCGCCAUUUAAAGUGGUACGCGAGCUGGGUUUAGAACGUCGUGAGACAGUUCGGUCCCUAUCUGCCGUGGGCGCUGGAGAACUGAGGGGGGCUGCUCCUAGUACGAGAGGACCGGAGUGGACGCAUCACUGGUGUUCGGGUUGUCAUGCCAAUGGCACUGCCCGGUAGCUAAAUGCGGAAGAGAUAAGUGCUGAAAGCAUCUAAGCACGAAACUUGCCCCGAGAUGAGUUCUCCCUGACUCCUUGAGAGUCCUGAAGGAACGUUGAAGACGACGACGUUGAUAGGCCGGGUGUGUAAGCGCAGCGAUGCGUUGAGCUAACCGGUACUAAUGAACCGUGAGGCUUAACCUU
rnacentral:rRNA from 1 species